GACGAACGCUGGCGGCGUGCCUAAUACAUGCAAGUUGAGCGAUGAAGCUUGGUGCUUGCUCCUCUUUGAAGAGCAGCGAACGGGUGAGUAACGCGUGGGUAAUCUGCCCUUGAGCGGGGGAUAACUUCUGGAAACGAAUGCUAAUACCGCAUAACAACUUUAAACAUAAGUUUUAAGUUUGAAAGAUGCAAUUGCUUUACUCAAAGAUGAUCCCGCGUUGUAUUAGCUAGUUGGUGAGGUAAAGGCCCACCCAGGCGAAGAGACAUAACCCACCUGGGAGGGGGGACGGCCCCAAUGGGACUGGGACACGGCCCAAACUCCUACGGGAGGCAGCAGGAGGGAAUCUUCGGCAAUGGACGAAAGGCUGACCGGGCAAAGCCGCGGGGGGGAAGAAGGGUCUCGGAACGGAAAACUCGGUUGAUAGGGAAGAACGAUGGGGAGAGUGGAAAGCUCAUCAAGUGACGGUAACUACUCAGAAAGGGACGGCUAACUACGUG
rnacentral:rRNA from 1 species